rfam:Clostridium sp. CAG:167 genomic scaffold, scf55
UUGAGGAGAAACCGUUAUGUGCGAAGCACAUAAUUAAAAAUCGGUUCCGACGACCUGCCGCCGAGCGAAGGCGAGGGGGCGUUACACAUA